rnacentral:sRNA from 1 species
UUGACAAUCUUAUCGUGAAGGCAUACUUUCAGGAGUGAGGGUAGAGCGGGGUUUCCCCCGCCCUGGUAGUCUUAGUAUGCUGGAAAGCUAAUCACUAAGAGCACCACGAUGAUGAGUAGCUUCAUCAUGACCCUUUCCUUAUU